rnacentral:rRNA from 1 species
GACGAACGCUGGCGGCGUGCUUAACACAUGCAAGUCGAACGGUGAAGCGCCUUCCUUUUUGGUGGGUGUGGAUGAGUGGCGAACGGGUGAGUAACACGUGAGUAACCUGCCCCCUUCUUCUGGAUAACCGCAUGAAAGUGUGGCUAAUACGGGAUAUUCUGGGUCUGUCGCAUGAUGGGUCUGGGAAAGAUAUUGUUUCGGUGGGGGAUGGGCUCGCGGCCUAUCAGCUUGUUGGUGGGGUGAUGGCCUACCAAGGCGGUGACGGGUAGCCGGCCUGAGAGGGUGAACGGUCACACUGGGACUGAGACACGGCCCAGACUCCUACGGGAGGCAGCAGUGGGGAAUAGUGCACAAUGGGCGCAAGCCUGAUGCAGCGACGCCGCGUGAGGGAUGGAGGCCUUCGGGUUGUGAACCUCUUUCGCCAGUGAAGCAGGCCUGCCUCGUUUGUGGGUGGGUUGACGGUAGCUGGAUAAGAAGCGCCGGCUAACUACGUG